UACGGGGGGGGCAAGCGUUGUUCGGAAUUACUGGGCGUAAAGGGCUCGUAGGUGGCCAACUAAGUCAGACGUGAAAUCCCUCAGCUUAACUGGGGAACUGCGUCUGAUACUGGAUGGCUUGAGUUUGGGAGAGGGAUGCGGAAUUCCAGGUGUAGCGGUGAAAUGCGUAGAUAUCUGGAGGAACACCCGUGGCGAAAGCGGCGCGCUGGACCACUACUGACGCUGAGGAGCGAAAGCGUGGGUAGCAAACAGG
rnacentral:rRNA from 1 species